ACGACCUUACUUGAACAGGAUCUGUCCUAUAGUAUCGUAGCGUUACAUCCUUUACCCAAAAAAAAAAUAUCUAAUGGCCCCU
rnacentral:snoRNA from 1 species